rnacentral:rRNA from 1 species
AGAAUCAACGCUGGCGGCGUGCCUAACACAUGCAAGUCGAACGCGAAAGGGGAGCAAUCCCUGAGUAGAGUGGCAAACGGGUGAGUAACACGUGGGUGACCUGCCUUCGAGUGGGGGAUAACGUUCCGAAAGGAACGCUAAUACCGCAUGACAUCCUGCUUUUGGAAAAGCGGAGAUCAAAGCUGGGGAUUCGCAAGAACCUAGCGCUUGAAGAGGGGCCCGCGCCUGAUUAGCUAGUUGGUGAGGUAACGGCUCACCAAGGCUACGAUCAGUAUCCGGCCUGAGAGGGCGGACGGACACACUGGGACUGAGACGACGGCCCAGACUCCUACGGGAGCAGCAGUGGGAAUUGUCGCAAUGGGCGCAAGCCUGACGACGCAACGCCGCGUGGAGGAUGAAGUAUUUUCGGAUUCGUAAACUCCGUAGUCGAGCGGGAAGAACUAG